CGCCCGACCGCCGUCCCUACUCCGGCCUUCGGUGUCCGACUUGUCCGCUCUACAGUUUGGCCCGCUCGUUGUUGCGGAUUGUCCGUCGUCCACCUGACUGCCGCCCCGCCCCGGCCAACGGGCCAAGCCAUCGCUCGCGGCUUGUGGUCUCACAUGGACACGGGAGCAGGCAAGCAGCCUGCAGCAUAGGGCAACCCUUCUCCAGUUCUCCCCCGCCUCCGGGUCUGACUGACUGCCGCGAGCCGAGCGGAGGCAAAGCUGCAAAAUGUAGAGUGAAAGAAAUGGCGAGCGUGGCCUCCCCGAGUUGUUCCGGCCUUCUCCCCCCCCCCCCCCCCCCCCCCCCCCCCCGCCAUCCUUCACCGGAGUCCGAUGCUGGUCCCGUCCGUCCUCUUCGCUCCACCCCCGCCCCCGGUGGGGCCUGCGCCGGCCAAGGACCCUCGCCUGCGUCGUGCCGCCCGACUCCGCGGAGCCACAGACGGGUGAGCAAGAUGCGAAAGUUGAGUCUGCCGAAGAAGAGGCUCGGACUAGUAUACCCCAGGAUGCUGAGCUUCCAGCUCUCCCAAACAAGGAUCUCAACAGAAGGGUAGCACUACUGUCUACUCUUGGGGGCUGGGGCGGUAGCUCUCUUUGCAUCCCAGAGGCUCAAUCUUAGCGAGAUAUCUCUUAAAGAUGUUGCAGCCAAUGCGGUUCCAUAUGAAGAGAUAUUUUUCUUCACUACAAAUGCUUAAAUUUAACCUGAUAAAUUCAUCUGCGGGCUCUUUCAAAUGGCAAGCCCACUGUUGUUGAGUUUUAUGCGGACUGGUGUGAAGUCUGCAGAGAGUUAUCUCCAGAUAUCUACAAAGUUGAACAAUACAAGGACCGUGUCAAUUUCGUAAUGCUGAAUGUUGACAGCACAAAGUGGGAACAGGAGCUCGACGAGAUCGGGGUGGAAGGCAUUCCCCACUUUGCCUUUCUGGAUAAGGAAGGAAAUGAGGAAGGCAAUGUUGUUGGGAGACUUCCAAAGCAGUAUUUCCUUGACAACGUGGUUGCGCUCGCUUCUGGUAAUCCCAGUGUACCCGAUGCACGAGUGGUCGGUCAGUUCUCGAGCGCUGAGUCUAGGAAAGUUCACCAAGUUGCUGAUGCCAGGAGUCAUGGCUAGCAGUUGUUUAUGUGGGGGCAGCAGUGGUUCUAGUUUAACUGGCAAGACCAUGUGACAGGUAAGCCUUCGUUUUAUCUUAAUCUCUUGAACAAGUCACUGAGUACGCCUGUCAUGCAAUUUUUUUUAUUGGAGUUGGAUAUAUCAGUUAUAGCAAGAUUCUAUAGUGGGUCACCACAAGUCUAGAAACCGUGGAUUUCUUUUGCACACUGAAAUGACUUCUGGCCAUCAAAAAAACAUUGGACCUUUUGUGAAGGCAGGUUUUGGAACCAAGGAGAGAUGGAAGGCUAUACUAUAGUGUAUUCAAUCUUCUCGGUAUCGAGCAUGCGGGCGCUGGAAAGAGCUGUUAGAUUCCACAGAUCACAGAAGAAAAGGGCGUGAUAUGCUGUGCAUGUGCGUGUGGAUUCCGGGUCCACUCCCAUCGUCGGCGCGGGUUCGUCAGCGACACUGGAACGGUUGCAUGCUGUACGGCAAAUGCAGAGAUGCUGUAUGUUUUUUUAGACACAGCAGGGUGUGGGUGGCUCACGAAAGAAGCUUUUGCUUGUAUUCGUUGCUCGUGUAACACAUGUUCACGCUGCCCUUUUCAAGAAUUCAAGGUGCCGUUUGGUUCACAUAAUUGUAACGUAAUGGGUAACGGAUAACGUUAAAUCAUGUUU